GUGCUUACUUCGGCAGCAUAUAUACUAAAAUUGGAACCAUACAGAGAAGAUUAGCAUGGCCCCUGCGCAAGGAUAAUAUGCAAAUUCGUGAAGCGUUCCAUAUUUUU
rnacentral:snRNA from 1 species